rnacentral:rRNA from 1 species
GAUGAACGCUGGCGGCGUGCCUAAUACAUGCAAGUCGAGCGAACAGACGAGGAGCUUGCUCCUCUGACGUUAGCGGCGGACGGGUGAGUAAUACGUGGAUAACCUACCUAUAAGACUGGGAUAAUUUCGGGAAACCGGUUCCAAUACCGGGUAAUAUAUUGAACCGCAUGGUUCAAUAGUGAAAGACGGUUUUGCUGAUUAUUAUAGUGGGAUCUGAACCGCAUUAGCUAGUUGGUAAGGUAACGGUUUACCAAGGGGAGGAUGAGUAGCAAACCUGAGAGGAUGAUCGGCCACACGGGAACUAAGACACGGACCCGACUCCGAAGGGAGGCAGCAGUAGGGAAUCUUCGGGAAAGAGCGGAAGCCUGAUGGAGAAACGCCGCGUGAGUGAGGAAGGUCUUCGGAGCGUAAAACUCGGUUAUUAGGGAAGAACAAAAGUGUAAGUAACUAUGCACGUCUUGACGGUAGCUAAACAGAAAGCCACGGCUAACUACGUG